AGAGUUUGAUCCUGGCUCAGAACGAACGCUGGCGGCAUGCCUAACACAUGCAAGUCGAACGGGAUCCUGGCUUCGGUCAGGUGAGAGUGGCGGACGGGUGAGUAACGCGUGGGAACCUGCCCAGUGGUGGGGGAUAACUGCGGGAAACUGCAGCUAAUACCGCAUGAUCCCGAGAGGGGAAAGAUUUAUCGCCAUUGGAGGGGCCCGCGUUCGAUUAGGUAGUUGGUGAGGUAAUGGCUCACCAAGCCGACGAUCGAUAGCUGGUCUGAGAGGAUGAUCAGCCACACUGGGACUGAGAUACGGCCCAGACUCCUACGGGAGGCAGCAGUGGGGAAUAUUGGACAAUGGGGGCAACCCUGAUCCAGCAAUGCCGCGUGAGUGAUGAAGGCCUUCGGGUUGUAAAGCUCUUUUGGCGGGGACGAUGAUGACGGUACCCGCAGAAUAG
rnacentral:rRNA from 1 species